rnacentral:rRNA from 1 species
CCAGUUCGGAUUGUAGUCUGCAACUCGACUACAUGAAGCCGGAAUCGCUAGUAAUCGCGGAUCAGAAUGCCGCGGUGAAUACGUUCCCGGGUCUUGUACACACCGCCCGUCACACCAUGGGAGCCGGAAAUGCCCGAAGUCAGUGACCCAACCAAUAAGGAGGGAGCUGCCGAAGGCAGGUCUGGUGACUGGGGUGAAGUCGUAACAAGGUACC